rnacentral:tRNA from 1 species
UAUACUGUGGCUUAGUUGGUUAAAGCAGCGGUCUAGAGAAUACGAAGUCGUGUGGGUUGGAAUCCCACCAGAACGA